GAAAACCAGCCUGGCCACCUCAGAAAUAAUCAUUGCCUCGGGCAGGGGGCUCAGCCAGCGGCAUCUGCGACUCCCCAGCAGCUGCUGGCCCGGCUCCUGGUGCUGUCAGCAUCCCCCUUCGAGGGAGAAGGGUGCGGAGUGGCUGCGCUGCUCCUGCUGAACGCCCUGCGCCCUGAGAUGUAUGGGGA